UUCACUUUCUUUUUCCUUAUCUUUCUUCUCCUCCGCUUCUCCUCUUUCUCUUCUCUGUUCUUCAUCUGCUGAUGGUUGUGAGAAUUAAACGAGGGUUUUGAGUUCGAAUCAAGAGUAGAAAGGUCAUGGAAGGUUUACUGGUGGUGAAGACUGUUAUAUAGUUGAGUUGAAUCUGAAGAAGAAUUAAAUCCGAUAUGUUAUUGAUUAGGUGGAGGAAUUAGGGUUUCUAAAAUUGUUAUUCAGAUUCGAUCAAGGAUGAAUAAGAAGGAUUAAGGACUGGGUCUGGAUGACUAAUUAUCGGGUUGGAGUUAACUGGGUUAUAUGGAGAUGUUUGAUGAUUGAGCCGAGAGUUAGGAUUUCUGGAAGAAUUCAAAGAAGAACCAGAAGAUGAAAUUGAUAAUUUAGAAGAUUGAUUUGAGAUGGGUUUUGAUAAGGUAAGAAGUAGUAAUGUUUGCAUGAGCUUAUUUUCGAUUUCAGUUGCUCAUGUUUUUUUCCCAAAAUAGAAAUUAGGGGUUUUGGUGAAUGCUGAACAGAACUGGUGGUUGUUGUUGUCUUAAAAAGAAUCGGUGGAUGAAGUCAAGUGAAUAAGAAACUUAAUUCAAUUUCCUGAGCAACACCAUUUGAGGUAAUUGUUUCUUAAAAGUAAAUUAAUAUAGCCUUAUGUUUAUUGAUGAAUACAUAUGUUGGAUUAUGGAGAUAAAAUAGAUAAUGGUUGUUAAGAUAGGUUUGAGCUUGAGUUAAAAGGAGGAGAUGUAAUUGAACUGAAAUUGCAGGGGAUAUGAGUGAUAUGGAUGUGUGUAUUGUUGAUAAUGAUUACAGUGUGGCAGGUGGAGUGUACAAGAAUCUGAGGUUGUUGAAAUUACAACAAUAUAGGUGGUAAUGAACUGUAGGAGGUAUUAGAGGUUUGUUGUUUUGGAUUUGGAACUAGAAUGAGAAUUAGGUGUUGCAUUUGAUAUGGAUUAUUGUCAUUGUAUUGAUAUGAACUGCUGGUAGAGUUGAAAUAGAAGAUGUGAUGAAUGUGUGGCCGUGAGAAUGAUUACAGGUGCAAGAGAAUGUGUUUGGAGUUGGUGUUUAGGAUUACUGUAGUUGAUGUAUAGAUGAGAAUGGAAUGUACUGGUGUGGCAGGUUGUUGUGGUAAUGUUGUUGUUGAAUCUGGUGAAGACAUGGAAGGUGGUAACAUUGAAGGGCAACUGAAGUUUAGAUGUGACAUACAAAGGGAGUCUGGUAGAAUUGUUGCUGCUGUGGAAGUUGAAUGAGAUGUUAUGUGAUUGUGUUGAAUGAGAGUUAGAUGUGUGGUGAAGUUGAGCUUGUAGUUGUAGAAAGAGUGAAAGCUUGGAUCUGCAGUUGCAGAAGAAGAAGAAGAUGCAUCGUUAUGAUUUACGACGAGAAGAUUGUUUGUGUUUCCACAAGCGUUGGGUAUCUUUAGAGAGAUGAGAAUUGAAGGAGUUAAAUUGGAAUUGCAUGACUGUAUCUUACUCAUUGCUGGUGCUCCACUUGGUGAAGAAUUGAAGGGGAUUUUGAUUCAUGUACAGGUGAAGGUGGGAACCCGUUCUGCGUUACUCAACUUUGGAUCACCAGUGGAUGCAUCUCAGCUAUAUAAAUUACUCCAUGCCCUUCAUCCACAUCCUCAUUAGAAGAAAAAUUAGUAGGCAGAGGUGCACCUGGAACAUAUUUGUACUCUACCUGGAAGCAGUGCAGCAAAUAUGUACUCGAAUUUGUAAGCAUUCAG